rnacentral:tRNA from 1 species
CAAACCAGAGCUUGAAAGAGCAUUUUAUUUACACUAAAAAGGUUACUAUAAGUAGUAUGGUUUGA